rnacentral:tRNA from 1 species
GCCCGGGUGGUGAAAUGGUAGACACCGGGGAUUUAAAAUCCCCUGCUUCGCGAGAGGCGUACCGGUUCGAGUCCGGUCCCGGGCACCA